rnacentral:piRNA from 1 species
UGAAACCGGUGAACCUAUCAGGUGCUCAUCCU